rnacentral:rRNA from 1 species
AGCUGCUGCGGCUUACACAUGCAAGUCGAGCGGUAGCACAAGGGAGCUUGCUCCCUGGGUGACGAGCGGCGGACGGGUGAGUAAUGUCUGGGAAACUGCCUGAUGGAGGGGGAUAACUACUGGAAACGGUAGCUAAUACCGCAUAACGUCGCAAGACCAAAGAGGGGGACCUUCGGGCCUCUUGCCAUCAGAUGUGCCCAGAUGGGAUUAGCUAGUAGGUGGGGUAAUGGCUCACCUAGGCGACGAUCCCUAGCUGGUCUGAGAGGAUGACCAGCCACACUGGAACUGAGACACGGUCCAGACUCCUACGGGAGGCAGCAGUGGGGAAUAUUGCACAAUGGGCGCAAGCCUGAUGCAGCCAUGCCGCGUGUGUGAAGAAGGCCUUCGGGUUGUAAAGCACUUUCAGCGAGGAGGAAGGUGGUGAACUUAAUACGUUCAUCAAUUGACGUUACUCGCAGAAGAAGCACCGGCUAACUCCGUGCCAGCAGCCGCGGUAAUACGGAGGGUGCAAGCGUUAAUCGGAAUUACUGGGCGUAAAGCGCACGCAGGCGGUUUGUUAAGUCAGAUGUGAAAUCCCCGGGCUCAACCUGGGAACUGCAUUUGAAACUGGCAAGCUAGAGUCUCGUAGAGGGGGGUAGAAUUCCAGGUGUAGCGGUGAAAUGCGUAGAGAUCUGGAGGAAUACCGGUGGCGAAGGCGGCCCCCUGGACGAAGACUGACGCUCAGGUGCGAAAGCGUGGGGAGCAAACAGGAUUAUAUACCCUGGUAGUCCACGCUGUAAACGAUGUCGAUUUGGAGGUUGUGC